rnacentral:rRNA from 1 species
UCGGGAAUUUUGGGCAAUGGGCGAAAGCCUGACCCAGCAACGCCGCGUGAAGGAUGAAGUAUUUCGGUAUGUAAACUUCGAAAGAAUAGGAAGAAUAAAUGACGGUACUAUUUAUAAGGUCCGGCUAGCUACGUGCCAGCAGCCGCGGUAAUACGUAGGGACCAAGCGUUGUUCGGAUUUACUGGGCGUAAAGGGCGCGUAGGCGGCAAUUCAAGUCAUCUGUGAAAUCUCCGGGCUUAACUCGGAACGGUCAGAUGAUACUGCUUUGCUAGAGUGCAGAAGGGGCAAUCGGAAUUCUUGGUGUAGCGGUGAAAUGCGUAGAUAUCAAGAGGAACACCUGAGGUGAAGACGGGUUGCUGGGCUGACACUGACGCUGAGGCNCGAAAGCCAGGGGAGCAAACGGGAUUAGAUACCCCAGUAGUCCCUGAGCGGGCUGGCAAGGCGCAU